rnacentral:rRNA from 1 species
GACGAACCGUACGAACGUUAUUCGGAAUCACUGGGCUUAAAGGGUGCGUAGGCUGUGCGGAAAGUUGGGUGUGAAAUCCCUCGGCUUAACCGAGGAACUGCGCCCAAAACUACCGUGCUCGAGGGAGACAGAGGUGAGCGGAACUUAGGGUGGAGCGGUGAAAUGCGUUGAUAUCCUAAGGAACACCGGUGGCGAAAGCGGCUCACUGGGUCUCUUCUGACGCUGAGGCACGAAAGCUAGGGAGCGAACGG